rnacentral:lncRNA from 1 species
CUAUCCUUAGUAGUGGAAUUCUCUUCAAAUGGGAACCACGUCGUGUACGGAGGUAGAUACCUGGAGGCAAGAUGAAGCAGAAUAUGAGACAACAAACGGUACGAGUUUAAACAGACAUCAGUUAAUUUGCAGCAAUCUUUCCAAUUAAAGUUUCAGUGAUUAGUUGCUUAUUUUGGGCAUUGAAAAUGCAUGCAUGUCGAUGCAGCUGCUUAACGAAAUGCGAUCAGAAAGUCACCCUUGGGUGGAUUAUCAUCUUCGGAUGUUCAAAAGCAGAUCAUUAUUGAGAAAUAAUUCAGGGAAGGAGUUGCAGCUCUGCUUGUCUAAGGUUUGAUCUUUCAGGUGACGUGCAAGAACAUUCUGGUGCUUGGUUAUAUUCUCUGUAAAUGAUGCGACAAUAAGAUGAAAACAAUGGCUCAACUGACUGGAAGCUUGGAUUCACAAGCAUAUGGCCUUGAGAGAACAAUAUGGGAACAACUGCUGGCCGGUGAAGAAAUUCCUUUGCACGCGCUACGACAAUCGGCAGGAGAUAUCACCCUGCUUUAGCCAUGCAGGUCAUUUUCAGAGGCACACAUCCCAGUUCCUAAACCAGGCUGCAAAAGUUGACGAAUGACGACUACUGUGCUCCACUAUUUUGUACUCCAUGCAUCAACUGGGGAAAGAUGGCGAAUUUUAUGGAAUUGCAUGUGAAAAUUGAGCCAUAAUCAUCUGGAAGAACCAAAGAUUGGAACAAAUUCUAGCAACUAUGCGCCUCCCAUUUUGACAUGAACAAAAUUAGAAGUAAUAGUCAUCAACCUCCCAGGUGACCAGAUUUGCUGAGAACGCGGAGAGCAUAUUCUCAGGUUGACAGAAGGUGUGGCAUGUGAUGCAUGCAGGCUUUUGAAUGGAGACUUGGAAUAUUAAUACUCCUACCUUUCAGCAAAUUGAUUGUGGUGUUCUUGCAAGUUGAAGUGGUGUGCUGCGUUGUGGUUUCUGUGAAGCUAGGAGGAGAGCUAUCCUUUUCUUCUUUGGCAAAAAUAAAAAAAAAUCUGUCAAAAAUCUAGGAGAAAGGGUCAACGCACGGUCAACUCCUACCUAUGGUCACGAACUGGGAAAUGGGACAGUGUUUUGACGUUUGAAACUACUCUCCAUCACAUGCAUCUACCUACCUAAGGCCAUUCUCAACCCAAUAAUUAGGAUGAUGUCCAUAGCAUUAAAUAAGUUGCUACUUAGGACAAAAAAUAAUAUGCAAGUGAAUAAAUGAGGAAAGAGAG